CCUACGGGAGGUAGCAGUGGGGAAUAUUGCACAAUGGGGGAAACCCUGAUGCAGCGACGCCGCGUGAGUGAAGAAGUAAUUCGUUACGUAAAGCUCUAUCAGCCGGGAAGAAAAGGACGGUACCUGAGUAAGAAGCAGCGGCUAACUACGUGCAAGCUGCCGCGGGUACGCGUAGGGGGCAAGCGUAAUCCGGAUUUACUGGGUGUAAAGGGCGCCUAGACGGCAGGGCAAGUCAGGAGUCAAAGGCGGGGGCUCAACCCCCGGACUGCGCUGGAAACUGGACGGCUGGAGUGCAGGAGAGGUAAGUGGAAUGCCUGGUGUAGCGGUGAAAUGCAUAGAUAUUAGGAGGAACACCAGUGGCGAAGGCAGCUUACUGGACUGUAACUGACGCUGAGGCUCGAAAGCGUGGGUAGCGAACAGGAUUAGAUACCCCUGUAGUC
rnacentral:rRNA from 1 species